UACGUAGGGUGCAAGCGUUAAUCGGAAUUACUGGGCGUAAAGCGUGCGCAGGCGGUGAUGUAAGACAGUUGUGAAAUCCCCGGGCUCAACCUGGGAACUGCAUCUGUGACUGCAUCGCUGGAGUGCGGCAGAGGGGGAUGGAAUUCCGCGUGUAGCAGUGAAAUGCGUAGAUAUGCGGAGGAACACCGAUGGCGAAGGCAGCCCCCUGGGCUAACACUGACACUCAUGCACGAAAGCGUGGGGAGCAAACAGG
rnacentral:rRNA from 1 species